CCCAGCCAGGAUUUUCAAGGCUGCCAGGAGGGACAGGGCUGGGGGCAGGCAGGAUCGGGAGGCAGCCAGCUGAGACGGCCAUCGUCCCCAGAAACAUCGCCCGAACCCCUCCCUGGCCCUCCAGCCUUGUUAGGGGAAGAGAAAGGAUUACCCUGCACCUAGAGAGUGUAAUCAAUUCCCCACAACCCUCGGCAGGAGGGACGGGAAAGCCACUGCCUGCUCAAAUGUGUAUGGAUUAAAAAUAUACAAAUGGAAUAUUUUUUUCUUCCCCUCUCCUCAACCCCCUGAAGCCUAGGAUGCUUGUUAAAAAUAGCCUUGCUGUGGCAUGGAUCCUACACAACCCAACGGCUGGCAGAAAAAUUAAGGAGCCACUGGAGACAGCGCUGUUAAGUGGCUACCCCUGGGGAGUGGAAUGGGGAGGGCCAGGAGGGAGGGAGGUGCUUUCAAGUGUUGCCGGACACACUUCUACAUUGCCUGGAUUUUUAACAACAAGCAGAUAUAAAAUAAGUUCAUUGUUUUUUACUGGAGUUUCAUCCUUUGCAUCCUCCAGCCUACGUUUAAGGCUGAAUUCAUACUUAGUGACCCGACAGUACCUGCUGGCUGGCCUGGCAGUGCUCCAAGGAGACCCAGGACGCUCAGGCCACCCGGUACAAACACAGCCCAGCAUCAAGAAAACAGCACUGAAUCAGUCAGUCUUGGAUCUGUAACCAGCUGGCUGUGCGACCUUAGCCCACACUCUGGAGGCCGCAUUGCUGGCUGGUUAAGAAAUGUGGGCUCUGGAAUCAGGUUUGUAUCCCAGCUCCACCACCUAUCAGCUGUGUGACCUUGGAUUCCACUGGAACAUCUGAACUCCCUGCUCAGGGAUGGAACCAGCAAAGAGCCUGGAGGUUGUGGUCACAAAAGAGAAUUGGAGUUUUCCAGCAGGGAGGGAUGAACCCAGGAAGCCCUUGAGGAUUGCUGCCACUCAAAAUCCCCUGGACUCUUGUUGGUGACGGGGCAGGAGUGGAGAGGAGGACAAAGCCGGCAGCCAGCAAAGGAGGGCCCAAGUUCAAAGGUGUUAAAAGACCCGUGGCUUUGGGUGUCUCAACCAGCAAACUUCUCCUCCCUCACGGACUUUCUACAGGCUUGCAAGCCAACUGGUUUCCCCAGUGGGGAAAGUAUACCACCACUGUCUAAAAGGAGGGCCUCUCGCCAUGGAUGUGCUACAAGAGGAGAUAACAAAUGCAUUUGGGUUUCCAAUGGCCCAGCUGCACCGUGUUAAGAAAAACGCCGUUUUCCUGCUCUUAAUCCAUUCCUGGUGGAGAUGUUGCUUCAACUUGAAGGAGCCUUUUAUGUGCUGAAGUCAACUGCAAUCUAAAAGAUAAGUUAAAUCACUUAUUCAGGAAGACAGGAAGCCUUUGACAGCAGUGACUGAUUAAGAUUUCACAGCAGCCAGAGCCAGGCCUACGGAACCCAAAGAGUGCUCGUUCCCUCACCAACCAGCACUGUUGGCCCCUCCUUGGCAGCAAGCCAAGCUCAGAAUCCUACCCUCGGGGAGAUUUCCCUCUGACAGAGCAUGGAGGGGGCUGGAGCAGACAGAGGGGAGUGCUAAGUCCCAGCAGGUGAACCUGAGAGCCCUGAUGACAGGAACUAGAGAUACCCCACCCUCUGCCCAGCCCCCUUCCUCACCUCCAUUUAGCCUUGGCCUGGUCUCCCAUGGUCAGCUCAAGGGUCCCCUCUUCCAGGAAGCCUUCCCUGACCCUACAGGCCAGGACUCGCAGGUGCCUUUACACAACAUGUUCCUAGAGCACUUGUACUUUACCCCAUCCUCGCACCUUUGACUCUGAAGACUUGCCUGUCACCUGGCAUGGCAGCCACUUGACUGUGAGCACUCUGGGGGCAGCACAUGGUACCAUGCUGGAUGCCCACUAAGCUCUUGGCACGUGUUUGGAAGGCAGAGGAACCUGAGCUCAGGGAACAGAGUGACUACCUGCCUUGCCAGUGUCACCUGCCAGCUUAUCCAAGUGCUCACAGCCCUGCUGGCUGCUAACCACUGGGCCAGGCCCUGGGGGCAUCCGCAGUAUUCCAACAGGGCUUCUUGUCCUAAAAUGCCACCCAGGCCCCAAAGGCCCACUGUUAGAAUCCACUCUUUUAGCAAAGCAUCACCUCCAGAAAGUUCCCAUCCCCAAGAGGAGGCACAGUCUCACCCUGUGGUCCUCUUCAUCUGCUUGGCCAGCCAGGGAUGGGGCUCAGGGGAAGGAUUAAUCUAGGGCCCAGGAUGCUGACCAGGGUGAGCAGGCUGGAGGAGGCACUGGGGUGGGCAGUCCAUGGGCAGCCUGGGGGCACUGGGUCCAGAAGAUGAAAGUAUGCCUCAAGGGCAUCAAGGUAAGAUCCCAACUUUACACAUGAACAAAACCCUCAGAAGAGCAGAACUGGGCUAAGUUCAGGACAGAAGAGAUGUGCAAGCAGGUGAGCAAAUGAUGUCAAGGUUGGAGGUGAGCUGAAAGGCGCAGGGGGUAGCUCUGUGGAAAGCACAGUGUUCACUGUGUUGGGAGGGCUGGGACCCAAGUUACUCCACCCCUAGUCCCCCACUUCUGCACCAGUGGUAGCCCUGGGCAGGCCAUCAACCUUAGAUAUCUGAAUAUGAGAAUCAUCAUCUGCCCUGCCUGCCUUGCACAACUACUGCUCUACAUUAAAUCAGAAAGGAGAUGAGAAAAUUCUCUAGAAGCCUAAAAGCAAUAUAGAAAUAGAAACUGUUGUAACAAUCAUCAUUUGCUUUUUCAGAGUGUCUUGCAGCCUGUAUAGGGCUUUCCUAUCCAGUAACCUCCUAACCCUCAAAACAACUCUGGGAGAUAGGUAUGGAUAUGUAUACUCAAUUUACAGAUGUGAAAACUGAGGAACAGAUAGUUCCAGCCCAGAAUCACACCAAUAACAAGGGGCUGAGGUGACAGCUAUGUCCAGGUCUUCUGCUGCAAAUAGAGUAUUCUAUUUACCACACCAAGAUGUACCCUCCAUUGUCUAAAAUCACAAGCUCUGGCUGUACAGAAAACCCUCCUUAUUCUUCAGUCUUUCUAUGGAUUUGUUGAUUCCUCCUCCUUCUUCAAUCCAUCCGUGGAUUUGCUGAUUGACAAAUGAGCUUCCCUGGUCUCCUUGUCAUGGCACUGUUUGGGGGAGUUUGUGGUCAGAGUUUUUAUCUGAGGACAAGAAACCAGGCUGCAGCCUGGGCUCAGCCUCUUAUCCAUUGUGGGGCUAAGGAAGAGUCCCUGUCCCCCAGUAUUCUCCAAUCCCAUCUGAUGUUAAAACCUCUUAAUGACCCUGAUCUAAGCAUUUCCAGAAAAAGGUUCUCAGGGCCUUUCUGGGGGUGGCGGGGGCAAUCCUUUGUGACAGCAUGAAAAGCCGGAUGGGGCUGGCCUGGUUGCAAUGGCACACGCUAGGUUCCAGGCACUCCACACGUUUCUCAUGAUAACCUCGUGGUUGAUACUCACACAGAUGAGGAGCUGAAAGGCUGCAGGAGCUGCCCACCAUCCUCACACAGCGUGGAAGUGGUAGCACCAAGACUGAGGCCCAGGAGGGGGGUCCAAAGGGCCAUCCUGCAUUUUCCAUUGCAGCAGGGUGGGAAGGAGAGGGAGAUAGAGACUUUACCUCUACUCUAAAUCACCUCCUUAGGUUGCCAUAUUUUCCUUACUUCAAUGAAUUAUGUGGAACAAAAUACACUCAAUUGGUAGCAGAAAUCGGCCUCCAGUUUCUCAGAUCCUCAUUCAACGAAAGCAUCCUUUGCAGGUGCCACUGCUUGGGAAUACACCUGUAAUUCACAUCUGCACACAAAACUCCAUCUUUCUUUGAGGCCUGAACAAACAGGUUUUUGUCGUUUUGUGGUUUUUGUUUGUUUGUUUGUUUAAGAGAUGGGGUCUCACUAUGUUGCCCAGGCUGGCCUCAAACUCCUGGGCUCAAGGGACCCUACUGCCUCAGCCUCCAGAGUAGCUGGGAUGACAGGUGCACACCACUGUGUCCAGCUUUACAAAUAGGUUUCUUAGGCUGACCUUAUCAAUCUCAACAUCAACACAAUUAAGGAAUUUGCUCACAAUAGUCUCCUGUUGGAGUCUUUACGUGCACGAACAUCGUUCUCACAGACCAUCCAAUAUGGACAAACUUGACUUGGAAACAGGAAAAUAGGGAGGUAAUUAAUCACCUGGUAAAAGGACACACCCCAGAUGUACUUUUCACAUCACCAUCCCCAAAUAUGCCUUAAGGGGCAUCAAGGUAACAUCCCAGCUUUAUACCACAUGAAUAGAGCUUCUCUAUUCAUGUGGUUUUCAGAACAUAUCCAUCUACUAGACUCAGGAACUUGACUUGAGAGACAUGGAUAUUUCUUGCUUCCUGGCAGCAAAUCCAACAGCAAUUCCAGUCCCUGCAGCCAGUUAGGCAGGGAGGAAAGGGCUGGUGUGUCAGGGCUGGUCCAAGCACACUGGUAUACUUGAGUCAACAUCUGCAGCAGAGGAAGGGAGACAGAGGGGACUGAAUAAACGGAGCUGUGCCAUUGGGAGUCCACCAAGCACGCCAAUGCCCUCCUACGCCCCUCAGCUCCAGGCCUCCUGGCCUCACACCACCCUAGAACAUUCUUGUUGCCCAAACCUCAGAGGAGGGCUUUCCCUGAACCAACUCUGACUUCCUGCUUCCUCUCUGACCCUACAUGGUGGUACUCCACCUCUGCCAGACAUCCCUUCCCUGCUCUGCCUGCAGCUUCAUCAAAGCCUACUGGGCCCUGGAGAAGAGAGCCAUGCCAAUCCCCCCUGCAGUGAGCUAGCACAGUGCAUUCAGGUUAGUUACUUUCCUUCUUGGGCAUCUCUGGUUUAUAACAUGAGCCUCUUGGAGAGGGCGGUAUUUUGAACAAAAGGAAAUAAUCUUUCAUUGUGAAAUUUCAAGGACUGUGGGGGAAGAAAUCCAGUGAGGCUGGAGGGCAGUAAUGGGGGAACAGAGAGAUCUCUGAGAUACAACAAUGUCACACGGACCAGCCAUGAGCUACUACUGGAAAUCUGUUUUUCAAAAUUUAAAAGAGUCAAUUUCCAGAUGUCUGCUUAGCGGAGCCAAACUGCUGUUGAUUUGUUCCCAGUUCGCCACGGAAUAAAGUCUGAACUCCUCACCCGAGCACUCCAGACCUUCCACGUUCUGGCUCCCAUAAAGCCUGCUCUCCUUCCUGCCCCUCCUAGGAACCCCACUUAGCCAUUCGCUUCCGCACUAUCCUGCAGACCUGCUCGGGGCUUCCCAGCCUGCACACUAGCCCAGGCCUGAGCAUGCUCCUUUACCAGCACCACUGCACUGCACAACUCCAGUGGGUGCCGUGCUCAUGCCAGGCUGUGUGUGUGCAGUGCACAGCAUGGCAAUCCAUGUGCUGCCUCAUCCAUAGCCUCCACUUCAGGAAGUCUCCCGUGCACCCCUGCAACCUUCCUCUUCUCAAUUUCUUUGUUGCCUAGAACCUGCAGCUCACUUCAGGCACUGGACACUCCCUGCUUCACAUUCUCUUGAUCUGAGUGGGUGGGGGUAGGUCCCCAAUCAGAGCACAAAUGCCCUGAGGGCAGUGACUGAGUCCUAAGACCUCACACCCCAGGUGAGCGGGCUGAGAAGUU
rnacentral:lncRNA from 10 species